UUGGCCUCAAACUAACUCUGGUGAUUUUUUUCCUAAGCUUCUGGCUCCCUCUGGUUCUUUGGCUCUAACUGCCUCUGCUGACAAGCACUGAACUACAUGAACUCACUAACAUACUCCCCUCCACGGCACUGCACUCACUGCACUGAAAUGGACUCCUUUAAGUGAAUUCAACUGAACUCAAGUGAACUACCAUCUCCGUCUUGUAUCUUCUCAGGAGAGUUUGUGUAUAGUAUUCUGAUUCAUUCUAUCAAAUCUUUCUCUGAUUAGUCUCUUUGUGUGCCCCUCAAUUAGAUGUCACUUUCAACCACGGCUCCUUCCUACUACAAAUUAACCUUAACUUCAUCUUUUGGGAUUAAAGAUGUGUACUAAGGGUGUGUCUGUAUUCCAGUUUGAGGGCUUUGAAUUCCUCUACAUGAUUUAUUGGUAUAAACAUUGCAAAUUCAAAGAAGAUAAAAAUCCAGUACUAAAUGUCACAGGUGCCAAGUAGCACUUUGACAUUAAAUUUUAUACAAAAGAUGUUCGAUAUAGGGGCAAGCUCUCAAGUAAAUCCAACAAUCUUAUAUAUCGACAAAGAAUCCCAAAACGUACAAUAUUCACUCAGUAAGAGCCUGCCCAACGGUCAGGCAGUGGUGGUGCACGCGUGUAAUCCCAGUACCUGGGAGGCAGAGGCAGGCGG